GGCCAUAUCAUGUUGAAACACUAGUUCCCAUAUGACCACUGAAGUUAAGCAAUGUCAAGCCAAGUCAGUACCUACAUGGGUGACAACUUGGGAAUACCAGGUGCUGUAAG